AUUGAACGCUGGCGGUAGGCCUAACACAUGCAAGUCGAACGGCAGCACAGCAGUAGCAAUACUGUGGGUGGCGAGUGGCGGACGGGUGAGGAAUACAUCGGAAUCUACCUUUUCGUGGGGGAUAACGUAGGGAAACUUACGCUAAUACCGCAUAAGACCUUCGGGUGAAAGCCGGGGACCUUCGGGCCUGGCGCGGAUAG
rnacentral:rRNA from 1 species